rnacentral:lncRNA from 1 species
GAUGACAUGAGGGACCCAAGAUUUAUUUCUUUAGAUCUAUAUAUUUAGUUGAUGAAGCACUGCUUAUUGACAAGACUUUAUUUAUACAGUGUCACAUUGGUUGUAGAUCAAAUGGCAUGCGUGCAUUGCUCAGGACUCCAAUUCACUGAUGGGCUUGUUUAUCAGCACGCCACUACUGCUGUUUGCUUGUUCUUGGCGCAGAAAAAUGAUUUUAAAACUUUAGAGUAUUAGCUUGGCAUAUACUCUCCUUGUCAAACAAAUUCACUUAACGGUUUAUUUAUAGUUUUGGGUGUACAACUAAAGCAUUGUCUAUUUUUCUUAUCUUGUAUUGGUGUCCAGAACCUUUUUAAAAUGAUGAAUAGAAAUGGUAUUAUGGGAAUCUAUUUUUUCUCGUGAUGCCAAAGUUAUAGGGGAAAUCACACAUUUUACCACAUAGUGCAAGUUGUUUGUUUGGUUUGUUUUUGUUUAUUUAUUUUGAUAUCAGAUUGUGGGCAUGUGUGUUUCCAUCACUUAUCUUUCUUAAUGAUCUAAUCUUUAAAGAUUCUGAAAUCAUGAAUAGACUUUGUGUAUUAUUUUGUGUCCACUUAGAUAACCCUGUUUACAGGUUAACUCUUCCAAAAGACAUCAUCUCAACCAUUUAAAGUUCGUUGAUACUGGUUUUAUGGUUUAGCACAUGAGCAUUUUCAAUAGAUAUUAACUAUGCACUAUAUAGAAAGUGGUAUACUCUACUAGUUGAGGCUGCAGAGUCGUAAUGUUUAAGUUAGGUCAUCUAUUUGUAUGUGAUUUGAAUCAUCUAGAACCUGGUUACUCUUCUACCUGUUAGACCCAUCACUUAAUUUCAAGACUUGAGUUGCAAUCUAACGAGAUGAUAGCCAUUUCUAACUAUUCUUAAUACUACAGUAUUUUGCUUUAUGCUUUGAGGCUGUUAUCAAGUCUAUCUGAUGUGUGUUUAUAAUUAUUUCCCACUAAACCAGUGCAGUCAUCAUUCUAAAAUAUGUCUUUAUCUCCAGCCAGGAUUUUUCCCUUACAUUCCUCCUUGAGGCAGAGGAGGCACACCAGCUUUCUUUGGGUUUGUAUUUGGUUCAUGCCUCUCCUACUUUUAACUCCAGAUCUUCUUAUUUCCUUACAUAAAAAUUCUAUCUUGGAUGGCGUACGUAGGCAUUAAAUUAUUCUUCAAUCUGCUUUGGUCUAGCAUUUAAUCUAUUUACUGUAGUUUCAGCAUUACAUUCCACUUGGAUGUAUCCUAUGUUUGUUUCUAUUUGUGUCUCCCAUUUUAACCUUACCUUUUCUUUCUUAUUUUCCUCCCCUUGAAUUAGUCAUUUAUUCUGAGUAGUCCCCUUCAUUUGCCAUUACAUGUGCUUUUGCAUUAUAUAGGCUAUGACAUAUGCUUUGCUAUUUUUAGGUGUUGACCCAGGAAAGUCCAUAAUAUAGUACAUCACAAAACUAGUAAGAGUAUAAAUAAAAUGCCAAUUUCAUUAUUGCUUAGAGAGUGCCAUGAGCAAGUAAUACUGCCUGUUGUUCCUUAUAACACUUAUAGUAAAGUGUUACUAUUGUCUUGUGUGGUGAUAUAUUUUCACACACUUAACCCCUAGUUGUCUUUCUAUCGUACUUAAUUUCUCCUUGAAGCCCAUGCUUUUUUUUUUUUUUUUUGGUACGUGAAUCGUCCUUCUACCCAAGAAGUACCUCUGAGUGUCUCCAUUAGUGUGGUAAGGUUGCUAACAAAUUUUCUGGGUUUACCCUUUGACAGCUUACUUGAUUUUGUUUUUACAGUUUGUCUUGUCCUGUGCAGAUCCCUGGCAGUUUCAGUUCUGCACCUUCCAUUGCCUUCCAGGUUUCAUUCUUUUAGUCAAAGAGCUAGCCGUCAUUUUACUGUUGCUUUAUUGAAUUUAAUGGGCAUUUAUGUCUAUUAGGAGUUUCCUCUCUACUUUUGACAGUAAGUACUAUUAUUAUGGUCUGCCUGCCUGCCUGCCUGCCUGCCUGCCUGCCUGCCUGCCUGUCUGUCUGUCUGUCUCUUUCUCUCUCCCUCCCUCUCCCUACCCCUGUCCUUCUCCCUGUGUAGCCAAGGAUCUCCUGGAAUUCACUAUGUAGCCCAGGCUGUCCUCACUUCAUAGUAUUCCUGAGUGCUGGGAUUAUAGGAAUGUAGCAAUGUAGCUGUCCCUGCUCUCCAUGUACUAUAGUAAUUUGCCUCAGACUCACCUUCUGGUUUACCUAUCCAAUUGUCUACUGUUGAACUUUAGCACAAUUGUUGUUCUUUUACUGGUUAUAAAUUUUUAAUUUUGUUUCAUAAUUUUCCUCCAUCCACUGUAUUUACCAAAACUUUCAUCCCCCUCUUCAAUCAUGUCUGUCACAGUGACUUUAAGACUCACUUUAAAGACCUGACAGUUCUAGCCUCAGCUCUUGCUCUAGCCUCCGCUCCUGUGGCACUGCUUGUACUGUGUAUGUUUUUUCUUGGUUUCUGUUAUAGAGGUGUAUGUGUAGCUGUUUGGAUCUGAGCUUAUUCUGUUUGUGAAAGAACACAGAGGUGGGUGGAUGCUGGACUCUGUGCUUUUUCUUCGGGAGUAUCCACUCUUUCUCUUGACAGGCAGAAGAGUAGGGCGCCUCACCUUGAGCCAGUUAUGGACGGAGUAGAUGCACAGGGUUCUAGAGACUCCAGUUUAAUAUGGACAGGAUUUUUAGGGGUUAACAUCUGGGCUUCAUGGCUCUUCACCCUUUGGUGCUUUGAGCUAUCUGUCCCUCUAGGUCCAUGAGACUUUUAGGAACUGUACUUAGCAUCUUAGUGUUUUAGAUCCCAAUGUGUAUAUGCAGCGAUGUCUAGUCUUCUGGGUGUUUAAUGGGUGAAUGGUACCCAAAGGGGAUCUUGCAUGAUUUCCUCACCAUUCAGAGCUCCCUCCCUUCUCUGUGUUAUCACACCUCAAGUCUUUGCUAUUUUCAAGUAUCCCAGUGCCUUGCUUCUUUGAUUCAUUGUGCAUUCUUUUUUUAUUUUCCUUGAUGGAGAGGGUAAUUAACAUAAGCUCAUUAUUAGAAAAAAUGUGAUAAGAUAAUCAGGACAAUAAUUGAUUUUG